rnacentral:lncRNA from 1 species
CGGAAGAUGCGCACACAACAUCCGCCCCGAUUCAGCCCAAGGCCCACCGAAAGGUAAUAAGGGAUACGGGGCUGGAAACGCCCCUACGGCCCCUUACGAUCUAGAGGUUCGAAGGCUGGCCCGCUACGGGUUCGACAGCCGCCUCAAGAUGCCCACGAGCGAGGGGUGAGAAGGGACGGGUCCGCUAGCGACCGUGACCCGGGCGCGCGACGGCCCCAGGUGUCUCAAGCUCACAUUCGAGUGUAGACCGGCAUCAAAGUUCAUGGUUUUUCCACGAGGAAAGGCAACGAGCCCCCGGAUCCGACCGAACGGACUCGGGAACUAUAUGAACUGGCCGGCUGGAGCCUGGGGUACGCCACCAGCCUGGCCCUAGCCGGACCCCCCCGAACGGGGACCGAGAUCCCACUCGAAUCAACCCGUUAGUAGCUCCAAGAGCACCACAAUUCGUCCGACGAGGAUAG